UCUAGGAUGCACGUUUCAAGACCAUUUCACGAGUCUUCACAGUGACCUGAUGUGCUGUUUCUUCAUCAUAGGUGGUGUAUUCCACACUGUGGGCAUCCCAGCAUAAUCUCCAUGUGGUCCCAUGUGGUAAAGGGUUAUCAGUCUUCUUUUCAAUACCCUGCCUACUCUGUCCUCAUAGAAGCACUUACAAUGACGGUCAGAAAUGGCUUUUGACUUCAUGACUUCUUAACAAAUAAAAAUAUAAAUGGUCCUAAACAUUGCUAAUAGGGCAUCAAUAAACAUCAGCUGGGACCUAAUUUCUGAGAACAUUUGGGCAUCUUGGGCCUAUUUAGUUCCUGGGUGCUGUUCAAACACACGUAAGGCACCAUAGUGGUGUUGUGGAACUCAUGCAAAGGGAACUGCUAGAGGUUGUGCCAUGAGGACCUGUGAGACAAGGAGUGAACUGCUGGGCUCACGGCUCUGUCCAGUGCUAUAACCACUAGAGGACACUGCCUCAUUGUUACUGGGGAAAUUAAUCAUUGCACGUUUAAAACUGCCAAAUUGCAGAGGUCUUCCUUCUGCUGGCUUAACUUACUCUCAGCAACUAUUUAUUUAUUUGUUUUGUGCCCUGGCUAUUUACAGUGCUCCCAUAUGGUCUGGUUCUACUUUAAGAGCUGAAUCAAUGCCCAGAGAAAGGCAGCUCUGCUGUUCUUCCCCAGGUGAAAACAAAUGCAAUGAGACAACUUAUUGCUCAGUGUCUCUGAGAAAGCAGGGCCAUGCAACAGACUGAUUUGCUGAGCCCACUCAUCUAUGAGCAGUCAGAUCCUACUUCUUGUUUUGAUCCAUUCUGGGUUCCCUAAGCCUUGGCCUUUGUUAUGAGGGCUGCCAUCAAGGCCUGAGUGGGAAGGUGGGCUGCUGCUCAGACCCUGCCUCAUAGGCAGCUCUGUGGCAUCACCUCCAUGCAGUGUGUGAGAGGGAAUAGGAAGGACAUGCACGUGUGGGAUUCCCCGUGAAGAUCAGGCUGGGGAUGGCAGAGAUGGGAUGAUGGCUUCACACUUUAUCAGCACAUGGUGUUGGUGUCUGGCAGAGAUGCAGCACCACCAUGUGUGUGACGCCUGGCCUUGUGUGUGUGUCCAGCUUGUGGAGGCACUGGGGGCACAGCUUUACAUCCUUUGGGAAGGAAGAAGGUGCAAUUUUUUUUCUCCUGUUUUCACCUCAGAUAACUUUAACAGCUUCCAAAGUUGGCUGUCUGGCAAACAGCAUUUUUUUUUCCCCCUGUAUUUGGAGCCAAAUGGGAAUACAGAGACAUUUCAGGGAAAACUGACAGAAUUUGCUGCUCCUUUCAUUGACUCCAGUAAUUAUAAACUGAUCCCAUGGUAGCAGCAGGACUGCAUCUAGACUUUAAAUACCAUGAUUACAUUCACAGAACUGCUCCAACAAUGAGGAAUAUCUCAAAAAGCAGUAAAUAUUCUUGUGCUCAAUCCUACAGCUCAUUCCCGUUGUACCGCAAACUUACCGAGUUCGUUCAUCUUUCCUCAUGAAUCAGAGAAAUGCAUCUCCUCCAAGAGCUGCCUAUUUUCUUGUAUACUGUGCAUCACUUCUCCUGCAGAUUGGAAAGAGAGUCUAGGAAGGCUGCAGCUGCUGCUGAAGUGGAAGCACAUGGGAAAAUGACUCACCUCCCAGGGGCUAGACAUGGAUUUUCAACCCAGCAAAGCACAGGAAAAAUGACAUGAAGGUGGAGCGUCCCACUACUCGAGGAACAAGAUGUCAUGGCAAAUAAGUGCUUCAAGUCUGGUCUAUUCUUUAACAGAGUGGUAGGCUGUGAAGAUCCAAAGUACAAGCCCUUUACUCUGGGAACCAUUGCCAAGGAGAUGAUUAUUCAUUAACGAUAUAAUCUUUGACCUGGAAGCCCUGUGCUUUGAGCACAGUCUGUGAAGCAAUAGGGCCCUGGGGACAACCACAUGCGUGUUUGAAGCCCAGCACCGCAGGGAGGUGAGGGGUGCUGACACCAGGUUUUGAAUAGGAUGAUUGGUUUAAGGUAAGUGUCCUGAUCUGCAGGGCCAUAUUAAAGUACCUUCAAGUGUAGCAGAACUUGAACGCAUCCCUUUCUGAGGGGGGAACCUGGGAUGUGCAGAAACAUGUAAGGGCUGGUGCUGUGGUUCUUGCCUAUCCCAGGGCUAGAUUUCAUCUUGCUCUUGUAUUCACAUUCAUGGUAGUAACUGUACAAAUUAAUGACUCUUUAGCAAUAAGGAUUGGAAGCAGUGCCUCCUCAUAGCUUGAGUCUUAGAAGAAUGACUCAUUCUAGAAGGAGACUGAUAAUAUCUGUCAGCAUUGCAGCCUUUUCCUGCAAUGAAGCAGGUUCAUAUUUGAACAUUUGGCGUGGUCUCUAAAUUUUUCACUUCUCAGAAAAAGGAUCCAAUCUAAUUUUGAUGUUUUUAUACAGUAGCAAUCCUCUGUUCAUUUCAAGAAUCUGCUCUUUUUAUUCCCGUGACUAAUUGUUCAUCCACUCCCUGUUGACAAAUGCUGGUUAGUGUGGUUGGUGGGAGGAAUUCAAGGAAACUAUGAAUUGUGGCUUGUCUCUUGUUGGCUCUUCACUCUGUAGUCCAUCUGGUAGACAAAAUUCCUCAGUGUAGUGUGCAAGAGAUGAGAAUGCCUUUGUCCUGGGCAGCACCACAACCACUUCAAGGCAUGCACAUGGCAUGUGGGUCUCCCUGCUGCAGACACCACAGGAGAGAAGGGCUGAAGACCAUUUGUAGAACAAAAGCAUUUGCCUGCACUGUAAUCUGAAUUCAGUUUGAUAGGUAGCUUGGUUGGAGGUGACUGAAAAGAAGUAAGAGUGCUCCUAAAGAUACUAAGCCUCUUGUCCCGUACUGGGGCCAUGCUGAUAAUCAGGAAUGCAACAAACAAAGCUUCUUCCCCUGGCGUUUUUCUGUAUCCUUUGCCUGUUUUCCCACCACUGGAAAAAAACCUGUGAAAGCCUUCUAAUUGUUACAAACACAACACCAACAGCUCCCUUGUGCACUGGUAAAAUGUGUUGAUACCACCUGAUUCACUGGGAGUUGCUUGGAAUGAACUUGGGAUCUUGGGAUUUCUAAUGGCUGUGUGGGGUGUUAGCUUCAUGGACUUCCAGCUUCAUACCACAACAUUGAAGUAGAAGCCUUGCAGGCAUUUCAUGAGCUACUAACUCUAAAGAAAGUAUAUCAUUUUAUUUUUUUUUUUAAUCAUAAGGGCUUUUCUCUCAUAUGUUUCUCUUCCCCCAGGUACAAUGUAUUUAAUAUAAAACUAGAUGACAACAUGUAGCCCAAAGGUUGGUGCUGAAUGCUGUCCUGUAUUCUGGCAGACCUUCUGUGUACCCAUACAUGUGCAGGUCAGGCUGGUACACUUGCACAUGAUAUCCUUUGAAAAACUGUUGUGCUGUGCUUUUGCUCUUUCUAGUGGAUCCCACCAUAGUAUUAAAUAUGAGAGACACGAAUCCCACCAUUAUGUCAACAUUACCAAUCAAUGAGAAAAUCAAUGGCACAUAUUGCAUCU